rnacentral:rRNA from 1 species
UACGUAGGGGGCAAGCGUUGUCCGGAUUUAUUGGGCGUAAAGAGCGUGUAGGCGGCCUUACGGGUCAGCUGUGAAAACUCGAGGCUCAACCUCGAGACGUCGGUUGAAACCGUAAGGCUAGAGUCCGGAAGAGGAGAGUGGAAUUCCCGGUGUAGCGGUGAAAUGCGCAGAUAUCGGGAAGAACACCCGUGGCGAAGGCGGCUCUCUGGGACGGUACUGACGCUGAGACGCGAAAGCGUGGGGAGCGAACAGG